rnacentral:tRNA from 1 species
UCCCUGGAAGUUCAGUAGUUAGGACUCAGUGCUGUCACUGCUGUGGCCCUGGGUUCAAUCCCUGGUUGGAGAA